AUGACAACGACGAGGCACCAGAUCAAUCAUCAUAUAUGGCAGCACAUCCAUCGGAACCUCCUCUGCCCACAUCUCCUCCACAUUUCAACAAGCAGACGAGUUGUGCUUGAAGGACGAGCUGUCGGGCGUUGUGGAACGCAGUCGUGGACGGCGGCCACGGUUGUGGCCGCGGCGAGUGAGCCGGAGAAGCGCACCAUGGGCGAGCUUCCUGGGCGCCGACGAACGCCGGUGAGAGCAGCCGAGGCAGCAAGGGCGAAGGCGGCGCUAGCUGCCGCGGCGAGCGAGCGGAAGAAGAUAAGAGGAAUUGGGUUUUCGUAG
rnacentral:rRNA from 1 species